rnacentral:rRNA from 1 species
GGUCGGUUCGGCCGGGUUUCACACAGGUGUUGCAUGGCUGUCGUCAGCUCGUGUCGUGAGAUGUUGGGUUAAGUCCCGCAACGAGCGCAACCCUCAUCCUUAGUUACCAUCAGGUAAUGCUGGGGACUUUAAGGAAACUGCCAGUGAUAAACUGGAGGAAGGUGGGGAUGAUGUCAAGUCAUCAUGGCCCUUAUGGAGUGGGCUACACACGUGCUACAAUGGUGGCUACAAUGGGCUGCAAAGUCGCGAGGCUAAGCCAAUCCCUUAAAAGCCAUCUCAGUUCGGAUUGUACUCUGCAACUCGAGUGCAUGAAGUUGGAAUCGCUAGUAAUCGUGGAUCAGCACGCCACGGUGAAUACGUUCUCGGGUCUUGUACACACUGCCCGUCACGCCAUGG